GUGGCUGUAGUUUACUGGUUAGAAUUCCACGUUGUAGCCAUGGAGACAUGGGCUCGAAUCCCAGCAGCCACA
rfam:Selaginella moellendorffii unplaced genomic scaffold SELMOscaffold_4, whole genome shotgun sequence.